UUUUUGAGAUGGGAGAGAGGGUGGUGGCCUAAGAAUGACUAACAAUUGAGGGGCUCAGUUGCGACACCCCCAAACAGCCACACCAGACCAAGUUUUCCAACUUCAGGGCAGCAGCCAAAGAGAAUUCCUCAAGGCUAUAGGGGAAACAGGUCUGGUUGCAGCUUGCUUUCUGUCCUGCAUUGCCAACCCUCCAGAGAGAAGUCUCCAGUUGCUGCAGAUGUUCCUGCCAAAAGAUGUUUCCUGAGUGCCAGGAAACAUCAGAAUUCUUGAAAUGUAGAGAGAGCUCAGUUGUGAACUGAGGACCUAAAAACCAGUGUAAAAGUGAGCAGGAAAAAGAACCAGCAGCAGGAAGGAAGAAACAAUUUAACACCUUGCAAAGCAUGAAACUUUGCACCUCAAACUGGAAAAAUGGACAAGAUGAUUUUUUCCUUACUAACUGUGCUUCUUUGGUCAUGAAUAGCCUUUGACCCUUAACAAAAUGGAAAUAUAUAUAAUCAUAGAGGCCUUCAUUUUUCUGUCGAUUGUAUUUUUCCUUAUUUGCCUGUUAUGUUUUUUGGCACACAGCAAAGCCUUUGGAAGUCAGCUGCAAGACCCCUUGUUCCAAAGUGCUUCUGUGGCCACAUUCAAUCACUCACCUUCACCUCUCCUCUUUUCAAUGUCAAAUACUUAUCUUUAUCAUCAUGGUCACUUAGCUGACCAUACCAACCACCACAGGAAUUUCUCUCCAUACUGGACUUGCCUUAACAAUACGGAUUCCCCUGCACCAUAUUGUGAGAGUGAUACUUACGGAGGGGAUGAUACUUAUGGAGGGUGUAAAAUGGGUGGAGAGGAUGGCUAUUGUGAUUGAAUUACUUGAACAAAAUUCCAGUCGCUCUCCUCCAGUGACUCACAUCCACUGCAAGAUGAACAAAGGCCCCUUUAUUCUGCUACUGUGUCUAUUAUGGAAUGAAAAGAGCCCAUUCCAGAAAGAAAAAAAAAUCUUUUUACUUAAUCAAAUGAUACUUUAUUUAGGUGAGAAGAAAAGAGAAUAACCCAAACCCCAAGAUGUGAAGGUCCAGAUAAGCCAAAAGGAAAGCGAUAAGGACUCCAAGAUGGACUCAGAGGUCGAUAAUGAAUAAUUAUUUAGACAAAGCAAAGACAUAACAUCAGCAGAGAAUCCAGGACUGUACCUGACCUUCAUAGCACAAAAGCUUCAUCUAUAGAUGACAAAGAGGCAGGACAGACAAUAAAUUUUGCCCCAUUUUUCACUGAGGAGGCAUUUAGGAGCUUCUCUUUCCCAAAAUAUUUUCUGCCAGAGACUUUCCAUCUGGCCAAUACUCACAAUUUCCUAGAUCUACUUAGACAAACUAAAUGAAGAAAGAUCCUUGGGUUUUCCUGGGGUCUAGCAAAGGUUUUGGAAGGAACUUGAGAAUAAACUUUUUUUCACUGUUAGCCCUCCAUUCUGUAUUGGAUCCAUAAAGAAAAAUGGUUCCUGAAAGAAUCCCAAGAUCUACAAACUCCAUAGCAGUAUUGAAAAAGGAAGACUAUUGAAAACCUUUCCAGCUUCAAGAACCAGCUGAGGCGCUGCCUGGUCCAUGAAAUCUUUCUUGAUGUCUCCAGCUGAAAGCACCUUCCUCUAAAACACUCACUCUAGAUCUCUACUCUGUUAUAUGACUUUUCACCAUGCAUUAUGUUUGUUUGUGUACAUUUAACAAGUUCCUUGAGAGCAAGGGCUAUAUAAUUUUUUUUUUCAUUUUGUCCCUAUCCUUUGCACAUACUGAGAGCUGAAUAAAUGUUUAAAAAUUU